GAUCCUGGCUCGGGAUGAACGCUGGCGGCAUGCCUAAUACAUGCAAGUCGAACGAGAGGAAGGAAAGCUUGCUUUUCUGAAUCUAGUGGCGAACGGGUGAGUAACACGUAGGUAACCUGCCCAUGUGCCCGGGAUAACCUCUGGAAACGGAUGCUAAAACCGGAUAGGUAGCAGACAAGCAUUUGACUGCUAUUAAAGUGGCCUUGGCCAUGAACAUGGAUGGACCUGCGGUGCA
rnacentral:rRNA from 1 species